rnacentral:tRNA from 1 species
GGAGGGGUGGCCGAGUGGUUUAAGGCACCGGUCUUGAAAAUCGGCGUCCGCCUAACACGUGGACCGCGAGUUCGAAUCUCGCCCCCUCCGCCA